GGAGGGUGCAAGCGUUAUCCGGAUUUAUUGGGUUUAAAGGGUCCGUAGGCGGAUCUGUAAGUCAGUGGUGAAAUCUCACAGCUUAACUGUGAAACUGCCAUUGAUACUGCAGGUCUUGAGUAAGGUAGAAGUAGCUGGAAUAAGUAGUGUAGCGGUGAAAUGCAUAGAUAUUACUUAGAACACCAAUUGCGAAGGCAGGUUACUAUGUCUUAACUGACGCUGAUGGACGAAAGCGUGGGGAGCGAACAGGAUUAGAUACCCUGGUAGUCCACGCCGUAAACGAUGCUAACUCGUUUUUGGGUUUUCGGAUUCAGAGACUAAGCGAAAGUGAUAAGUUAGCCACCUGGGGAGUACGUUCGCAAGAAUGAA
rnacentral:rRNA from 1 species